CAGCCGCCGCGGGAAUACGAAGGGGGCUAGCGUUGUUCGGAAUUACUGGGCGUAAAGCGCACGUAGGCGGAUAUUUAAGUCAGGGGUGAAAUCCCAGAGCUCAACUCUGGAACUGCCUUUGAUACUAGGUAUCUUGAGUAUGGAAGAGGUGAGUGGAAUUCCGAGUGUAGAGGUGAAAUUCGUAGAUAUUCGGAGGAACACCAGUGGCGAAGGCGGCUCACUGGUCCAUUACUGACGCUGAGGUGCGAAAGCGUGGGGAGCAAACAGGAUUAGAUACCCGCGUAGUCCCUGUCUCUUAUAC
rnacentral:rRNA from 1 species